rnacentral:rRNA from 1 species
CUCGGCGAACGGCUAAGUAACACGUGGACAACCUUCCCUCAGAUCUGGGAUAACUCCGGGAAACUGGAGAUAAUACCGGAGAGUCCGUGAACGCUGGAAUGCCUUACGGUUCAAAGCUUUAGCGUCUGAGGAUGGGUCUGCGGACGAUUAGGUAGUUGCUGGGGUAACGUCCCAACAAGCCUGUAAUCGGUACGGGUUGUGAGAGCAAGAGCCCGGAGAUGGAUUCUGAGACACGAAUCCAGGUCCUACGGGGCGCAGCAGGCGCGAAAACUUUACACUGCGCGAAAGCGCGAUAAGGGGACCUCGAGUGCGUCGCAAUGCGUCGCUUUUCAUAUGCCUAAAAAGCAUGUGGAAUAAGGGCCGGGCAAGACCGGUGCCAGCCGCCGCGGUAACACCGGCGGCUCGAGUGGUGGCCGCUAUUAUUGGGCUUAAAGGGUCCGUAGCCGGACCAGUUAGUCCCUUGGGAAAUCUUACGGCUUAACCGUAAGGCGCCAAUGGAUACUGCUGGUCUUGGGACCGGGAGAGGCAAGAGGUACCUCAGGGGUAGGAGUGAAAUCCUGUAAUCCUUGAGGGACCGCCAGUGGCGAAGGCGUCUUGCUAGAACGGGUCCGACGGUGAGGGACGAAAGCUAGGGGCACGAACCGGAUUAGAUACCCGGGUAGUCCUAGCCGUAAACGAUGCGAGCUAGGUGUCACGUGGAUUGCGAAUCCAUGUGGUGCCGUAGGGAAACCGUGAAGCUCGCCGCCUGGGAUAAACGCCGGCAAGGCUGAACUUAAAGGCCA